rnacentral:rRNA from 1 species
GAAACUGGGGAUAAUUCCGGAUAACGCAGAUUUGCUGGAAUGCUUUAUGCGUCAAAAGGAUUCGUCUGCCCAAGGAUGGGUCUGCGGCCUAUCAGGUAGUAGUGGGUGUAAUGUACCUACUAGCCAGCGACGGGUACGGGUUGUGAGAGCAAGAGCCCGGAGAUGGAUUCUGAGACAUGAAUCCAGGCCCUACGGGGCGCAGCAGGCGCGAAAACUUUACAAUGCGGGAAACCGUGAUAAGGGGACACCGAGCGCCAGCAUCAUGUGCUGGCUGUCCGGAUGUGUAAAAUACAUCCGUUAGCAAGGGCCGGGCAAGACCGGUGCCAGCCGCCGCGGUAACACCGGCGGCCCGAGUGGUGAUCGUGAUUAUUGGGUCUAAAAGGUCCGUAGCCGGUUUGGUCAGUCCUCCGGGAAAUCUGAUAGCUCAACUAUUAGGCUUUCGGGGGAUACUGCCAGACUUGGGACCGGGAGAGGUAAGAGGUACUACAGGGGUAGGAGUGAAAUCUUGUAAUCCCUGUGGGACCACCUGUGGCGAAGGCGUCUUACCAGAACGGGUUCGACGGUGAGGGACGAAAGCUGGGGGCACGAACGAAUUAGAUACCCGGGUAGUCCCAGCCGUAAACGAUGCUCGCUAGGUGUCACGCAUGGCUCGACCGUGUCUAGUGCCCCAAGGAAUCCGUGUAGCGAGCCAUCUUCCAAGUACUGCCGGGAUGCUGCCACUUACAAGAUUGGUGGCGGAGCAC